rfam:Cavia porcellus supercont2_95 genomic scaffold, whole genome shotgun sequence.
GGGGAUUUAGCUCAGCGGCAUAAGCGCCUGCCUUGCAAGCAGGCAGUCGGAGUUCGAUCCCUG